rnacentral:rRNA from 1 species
GACGAACGCUGGCGGCGCGCCUAACACAUGCCAGUCGAACGGAGCUGGGAGAAUCUUGCUUUUCUUAGCCUAGUGGCGAACGGGUGAGUAACGCGUGACUAACCUGCCCUGGAGUGUGGGACAACAGUUGGAAACGACUGCUAAUACCGCAUAAGCCCACGAUCCGGCAUCGGCUUGAGGGCAAAGGAUUUAUUCGCUUCAGGAUGGACUCGCGUCCAAUUAUCUAGUUGGUGAGGUAACGGCCCACCAAGGCGAGGAUUGGUAGCCGGACUGAGAGGUUGAGCGGCGACAUUGGGACUGAGACACAGCCGAGAAUCCUAGGGGAGGGAGCAGUGGGGGAUAUUGCACAAUGGGGGAAGUCCUGAAGCAGCGCCGACGGGUGGAGAAAGAAGGUUGUGGGAUAGUAAAGUACUGUCGUAAGGGACGAUAAUGACGGUACCAAAAAAAAAAGCACCGGCUAACUACGUG